AUACUUAGCUGGCAGGGCAGAUAUCAUGAUCACAAUGGGCAAGGCUUAUUCAUUGCACUCUGGAUGUACUGACCCCUGUUAUUUUCCCAAAUGUGGGAAACUCAACUAUAUAAUUUGUGGUAGUAGGGGACUACAUUGGAGUUCUCUCCUG
ensembl:snRNA U1 U1 spliceosomal RNA